rnacentral:rRNA from 1 species
AUUGAACGCUGGCGGCAUGCUUUACACAUGCAAGUCGAACGGUAACAGGCCGCAAGGUGCUGACGAGUGGCGAACGGGUGAGUAAUGCAUCGGAACGUGCCCAGUCGUGGGGGAUAACGCAGCGAAAGCUGCGCUAAUACCGCAUACGAUCUAUGGAUGAAAGCGGGGGACCGAAGGGCCUCGCGCGAUUGGAGCGGCCGAUGUCAGAUUAGGUAGUUGGUGGGGUAAAGGCUCACCAAGCCAACGAUCUGUAGCUGGUCUGAGAGGACGACCAGCCACACUGGGACUGAGACACGGCCCAGACUCCUACGGGAGGCAGCAGUGGGGAAUUUUGGACAAUGGGCGCAAGCCUGAUCCAGCAAUGCCGCGUGCAGGAAGAAGGCCUUCGGGUUGUAAACUGCUUUUGUACGGAACGAAAAGGCUCUGGUUAAUACCUGGGGCUCAUGACGGUACCGUAAGAAUAAGCACCGGCUAACUACGUGCCAGCCGCCGCCGUAACAC